CCCCUCUCAGGAUCACACCUGGAGAGUUUUCAAUACUCUGCCAGUCUCAGCUACAGGAGGGAGAGUCAAACAGAGGCAUAGUUUUUCCAUUCUUAGCUUGGGCAGUGGCUAAUGAGUGGAAGGUGAUCUGCUACAAGU